rnacentral:rRNA from 1 species
UACAGAGGGUGCGAGCGUUAAUCGGAAUUACUGGGCGUAAAGCGCGCGUAGACGGUUUUGUAAGUCAGAUGUGAAAUCCCCGGGCUCAACCUGGGAACUGCAUUUGUGACUGUAGAGCUGGAGUGCGGCAGAGGGGGAUGGAAUUCCGCGUGUAGCAGUGAAAUGCGUAGAUAUGCGGAGGAACACCGAUGGCGAAGGCAAUCCCCUGGGCCUGCACUGACGCUCAUGCACGAAAGCGUGGGGAGCAAACAGG